GCGUAAAGAGCUCGUAGGCGGUUUGGUAAGUCGGGUGUGAAAACUCCAGGCUCAACCUGGAGACGCCACUCGAUACUGCCAUGACUAGAGUCCGGUAGGGGAGCGUGGAAUUCCUGGUGUAGCGGUGAAAUGCGCAGAUAUCAGGAGGAACACCAGUGGCGAAGGCGGCGCUCUGGGCCGGAACUGACGCUGAGGAGCGAAA
rnacentral:rRNA from 1 species